rnacentral:rRNA from 1 species
GAUGAACGCUGGCGGCGUGCUUAACACAUGCAAGUCGAACGGUGAACGAGGGAGCUUGCUCCCUCCGGAUCAGUGGCGAACGGGUGAGUAACACGUGAGCAAUCUGCCCCGAACUCUGGGAUAAGCGCUGGAAACGGCGUCUAAUACCGGAUACGACGCGCGAAGGCAUCUUCUGCGCGUGGAAAGGAUUUCGGUUCGGGAUGAGCUCGCGGCCUAUCAGCUAGUUGGUGAGGUAACGGCUCACCAAGGCGACGACGGGUAGCCGGCCUGAGAGGGUGACCGGCCACACUGGGGCUGAGACACGGCCCAGACUCCUACGGGAGGCAGCAGUGGGGAAUAUUGCACAAUGGGCGAAAGCCUGAUGCAGCAACGCCGCGUGAGGGACGACGGCCUUCGGGUUGUAAACCUCUUUUAGUAGGGAAGAAGCGAAAGUGACGGUACCUGCAGAAAAAGCACCGGCUAACUACGUGCCAGCAGCCGCAGUAACAC